rnacentral:rRNA from 1 species
ACUCCUACGGGAGGCAGCAGUGGGGAAUAUUGCACAAUGGGGGAAACCCUGAUGCAGCCAUGCCGCGUGUGUGAAGAAGGCCUUCGGGUUGUAAAGCACUUUCAGUAGGGAGGAAAGGGUGAGUCUUAAUACGGCUCAUCUGUGACGUUACCUACAGAAGAAGGACCGGCUAACUCCGUGCCAGCAGCCGCGGUAAUACGGAGGGUCCGAGCGUUAAUCGGAAUUACUGGGCGUAAAGCGUGCGCAGGCGGUUUGUUAAGCGAGAUGUGAAAGCCCUGGGCUCAACCUAGGAAUAGCAUUUCGAACUGGCGAACUAGAGUCUUGUAGAGGGGGGUAGAAUUCCAGGUGUAGCGGUGAAAUGCGUAGAGAUCUGGAGGAAUACCGGUGGCGAAGGCGACCCCCUGGACAAAGACUGACGCUCAUGCACGAAAGCGUGGGGAGCAAACAGGAUUAGAUACCCUGGUAGUCCACGCCGUAACGAUGUCUACUCGGAGUUUGGUGUCUUGAACACUGGGCUCUCAAGCUAACGCAUUAAGUAGACCGCCUGGGGAGUACGG